rnacentral:rRNA from 1 species
GAUGAACGCUGGCGGCGUGCCUAAUACAUGCAAGUCGAGCGAACAGAUGAGGGGCUUGCCUCUCUGACGUUAGCGGCGGACGUGUGAGUAACACGUGGAUAACCUACCUAUCAGACUGGUAUAACUUCGGGAAACCGUAUCUAACACCGUAUAAUCUAUUCAACCACAUUGAUCAAUAGGGAAAGACGUUUUUCCUGUCACUUAUAGAUGGAUCUGCGCUGCAUUAGCUAGUUGGUAAGGUAACGGCUUACCAAGGCAACGAUGCGUAGCCGACCUGAGAGGGUGAUCGGCCACACUGGAACUGAGACACGGUCCAGACUCCUACGGGAGGCAGCAGUAGGGAAUCUGACGCAAUGGGCGAAAGCCUGACGGAGCAACGCAGCGUGAGUGAUGGAGGUCUUCGGAUCGUAAAGCUCUGUUAUUAGGGAAAAACAAAUGUGUAAGUAACUAUGCACGUAUUGACGGUACCUGAUCAGAAAGCCACGGCUAACUACGUG